rnacentral:rRNA from 1 species
AUUGAACGCUGGCGGCAUGCCUAACACAUGCAAGUCGAACGGCAGCACGGGAGCUUGCUCCUGGUGGCGAGUGGCGGACGGGGUGAGUAAUGCAUAGGAAUCUGCCCAGUAGCGGGGGGACAACUUGGGGGAAACUCAAGCUAAUACCGCAUACGCCCUACGGGGGAAAGGCGGGGGACCGUUCGGGCCUCGCACUAUUGGAUGAGCCUAUGUCAGAUUAGCUUGUUGGUGGGGUAAAGGGCCUACCAAGGCGACGAUCUGUAGCUGGUCUGAGAGGACGAUCAGCCACACUGGGACUGAGACACGGCCCAGACUCCUACGGGAGGCAGCAGUGGGGAA